GAUUUUGGUUAAGAUUUGUUUUAUGAUUUUUUUUUAUUUUUUAGGUGGAGCACUUGGAGCCCCUAUUUUCAGCCUCAAAGGAAAUCAAGGUCAGGGCUGGAAGCCUGCAAGCGUUCGCUACAUUGGUUUAGCUGAUUCAGUGGAGUUUGUAAUUGUAGGUGUUUAUGGUGAAACAGACAAGACAGAUAUUGCAAUUGAUAGUGUCUGCAUUACCGCUUGUACAGCAACUCCAACAACACCUAAGCCAUCCCCACCCCAACCCACUACACCUAAACCAUCAACACCACAACCCACUUCACCUAAACCAACGACACCAGGUCCAUCAUCUCCUAAUCCAUCUACACCCCAACCCACUUCACCUAAACCAACGACACCAGGUCCAUCAUCUCCUAAUCCAUCUACACCCCAACCUACUUUACCUAAACCAACGACACCAGGUCCAUCAUCUCCUAAUCCAUCUACACCCCAACCCACCUCACCAACGACACCAGGUCCAUCAUCCCCUAAUCCAUCUACACCCCAACCCACUACACCCAAACCAACAACACCAGGUCCAUCAACUCCUAAACCAACAACACCUAAGCCAACUACUCCAGGACCAACACCACCAGGUAAGCUAAACUUGUUCUAUUUUGAUUAG
rnacentral:lncRNA from 1 species